AUGCUAACUCAAGAUGAGUUUGAGGCGGCUUUGGGCUUCUUGUUGGAUAAAUGUAAUCUGAGGAAGCACACGUACAUGACCCAAAUAUAUAAAACCAGGAAAAAGUGGGCACAACCGUACUUCAAGGGUGUGUUUUGCGCAAAAAUAACGAGCACCCAACGCACUGAGAGCGCAAACCAUGUGUUGAAGAUGUACAUGCCUCCUGCUAGCCCAAUGCAUGUUUACAGGCAGUACAUGAGGUUGCAAUUUGACCGCGAGGGUGAGGAAAGCUACGAGGAAAAGAGGACACUGAUUGUAAGUACUCCCUCCGUCUAG
rnacentral:rRNA from 1 species